UUGAGAGCGAAAAGGAGAGGAUAAGAAUUUGUAAUAUAUGGUUUGCAUGCUGUGGCCUACACUGGUAUUAUUUAGUAAAGCAGUUUCAAACGCAGGAGAGGAAAAAAUGGAACGAUAUUAUGUUAUUCCCACUAUAAUUUUCGUAUGGGCAAUCGAGGUUUCUGGAAUUGAUGUUGAACUUAGCAGGAAUGUUCUCCCUAAAUGUGAAUGUCCCUGCUGGUUUGGCGGUGAAUGCAAAUUCAAACCUCUUCCUCCACAAAAACUGAUUUGCAACCUCUCAAAUAAUAACAACUUUCUGUCAUGUGUGGCAACGAAAAAGGUUCUGCAUGAUAAUCAGUUUGAAUGUUUUAAGCAGCAAAGCAAUGCUGGUAAUAAUGGGUCAGAUCUAAAAAAUACAACACUUAUGAAUGGCAAGGAAUCUGCAAUGGAGAUUCCAGAGACCGAUGCUCAAAGUCACACCUCAUUUUUGGCGCUUGGAAAUAAUAUUUUGGUUAUAGUUUCAAUAAUUUCAUUCAUUUUCAACAUUUUGCUUGUGGCUGCUCUAAUUUACACUGGAUGCAGGCUAAAGAGUUCAAUCGCCGAAAGUACAAAAAAUAAAACGGUUGCCUCGGAUGAAGGUGAAGAGGUUAAUGAGAUGUAUAAUGCUUUCGAAUUAAGACAACAAACUGCAAAUACUGAGGAUCCAACAUACUCGGAAAUAAAUAUUAAAUG